UACGUAGGUGGCAAGCGUUAUCCGGAAUUAUUGGGCGUAAAGCGCGCGUAGGCGGUUUUUUAAGUCUGAUGUGAAAGCCCACGGCUCAACCGUGGAGGGUCAUUGGAAACUGGAAAACUUCGAGUCGCAGAAGAGGAAAGUGGAAUUCCAUGUGUAGCGGUGAAAUGCGCAGAGAUAUGGAGGAACACCAGUGGCGAAGUCAGACUUUCUGGUGUGUAACUGACGCUGAUGUGCGAAA
rnacentral:rRNA from 1 species